UAAGGAAUAUUGGUCAAUGGACGCAAGUCUGAACCAGCCAUGCCGCGUGGAGGAUGAAGGCCCUCUGGGUUGUAAACUUCUUUUCUUUGGGACGAAACCCCUAUUUCUAUGGGGACUGACGGUACCAGAGGAAUAAGCACCGGCUAACUCCGUGCCAGCAGCCGCGGUAAUACGGAGGGUGCAAGCGUUAUCCGGAUUCACUGGGUUUAAAGGGAGCGUAGGUGGGCUUGUAAGUCAGUGGUGAAAUCUCUGGGCUUAACCCGGAAACUGCCAUUGAUACUAUAGGUCUUGAAUUCUCUGGAGGUAAGCGGAAUAUGUCAUGUAGCGGUGAAAUGCUUAGAUAUGACAUAGAACACCCAUUGCGAAGGCAGCUUACUACGGAGACAUUGACACUGAGGCUCGAAAGCGUGGGGAUCAAACA
rnacentral:rRNA from 1 species